GUUUUUGUAGUUGAAAUAACAACGAUGGUUUUUCAAGCCAUUAGUCCUGGUUAGAGUCCUGGCAGAAAUU
rnacentral:tRNA from 1 species